GCAUAUCAAUAAGCGGAGGAAAAGAAACCAACAGGGAUUGCCCCAGUAACGGCGAAGUGAAGCGGCAACAGCUCAAAUUUGAAAUCUGGCCCUAGGCCCGAGUUGUAAUUUGUAGAGGAUGUUUCUGACGAGGUACCUUCCGAGUUCCCUGGAACGGGACGCCAUAGAGGGUGAGAGCCCCGUACGGUUGGUCGCCAAGUCUCUGUGAAACUCCUUCGACGAGUCGAGUAGUUUGGGAAUGCUGCUCUAAAUGGGAGGUAUACGUCUUCUAAAGCUAAAUAUAGGCCAGAGACCGAUAGCGCACAAGUAGAGUGAUCGAAAGAUGAAAAGCACUUUGAAAAGAGGGUUAAAUAGUACGUGAAAUUGUUGAAAGGGAAGCGCAUAUGACCAGACUUGGCCAGGUUAAUCAUCCAUCGUUCUCGGUGGUGCACUUUGCCUGGCCAGGCCAGCAUCAGUUCGCUUUGGGGGAUAAAGACUUUGGGAAUGUGGCUCCCUCGGGAGUGUUAUAGCCCAUUGUGUAAUACCCUGGAGUGGACUGAGGUUCGCGCAUCUGCAAGGAUGCUGGCGUAAUGGUCAUCUGCGACCCGUCUUGAAACACGGACCAAGGAGUCGUCUUCGUAUGCGAGUGUUCGGGUGUCAAACCCCUACGCGUAAUGAAAGUGAACGUAGGAGAGAGCUUCGGCGCAUCUCCGACCGAUCCUGAUGUUCUCGGAUGGAUUUGAGUAAGAGCAUACGGGGCCGGACCCGAAAGAAGGUGAACUAUGCCUGUAUAGGGUGAAGCCAGAGGAAACUCUGGUGGAGGCUCGCAGCGGUUCUGACGUGCAAAUCGAUCGUCAAAUAUGGGCAUGGGGGGCGAAAGACUAAUCGAACYUUCUAGUAGCUGGUUUCCGCG
rnacentral:rRNA from 1 species